GAUGAAGAACGUAGUAAAAUGCGAUACUUGGUGUGAAUUGCAGAAUCCCGUGAACCAUCGAGUCUUUGAACGCAAGUUGCGCCUCAAGCCAUUAGGUUGAGGGCACGUCUGCCUGGGCGUCACAUAUCGUUGCCUGAUGCCAGUUUCCUCGUGAUGGGUGACUGUGCAGGGCGAAUGAUGGCUUCCCGUGAGCAUUGUUGCCUCAUGGUUGGUUGAAAAUUGAGUCCUUGGUAGGGAGCGCCGUGAUAGAUGGUGGUUGAGUGACGAACGAGACCCAAUCAUGUGAGACCCCUACCGAAUUUGGCCUUCAUGACCCACAUGCGUCUUUGGAACGCUCAUGACGAGACCUCAGGUCAGGCGGGGCUACCCGCUGAGUUUAAGCAUAUCAAUAAGCGGAGGA
rnacentral:misc_RNA from 1 species